AAAGUAUAAGUAUUCAAAACUUAUAUAUGCUCAAAAUAGGUUGAGCGUUUCUACCAACUACCGUAAUAGUUGACUAUAAGUUUUCACAAUCAGUAC
rfam:Clostridiales bacterium 1_7_47_FAA supercont2.2 genomic scaffold, whole genome shotgun sequence.